CAAAUCUCGGGUUCGGGCGUUCGAGUAAGAGAGAGAGGAGGCAGACUAACAAUAACUAAUUGAAAUGGACGGACUUGCUCCCAACACUACCCGCAGCCAUCAAAACAAACUGGCCCUUGUUUGUAGCAGCUUAGACGUUGGGAAGCGCUCCUUUGUUGAGAGCAAUAUUGGUCUCUGGAAUGAAAGACUAUAGCAACACACACACACACACACACUGCAGCACCAUAUGUACAAUAAAUAAAUAAAUAAAUAAUGCUACUCCUGCUUAUAGGAGAGGAUACAAUACGGGCAAUACCGGCACAAAUUACGUCGGAAAAUAUCAUAUAUUUGGGAGGACGGUAGUAUUUUUUUUUUUUUUCUAAAUAUUAAUAACAUCAUUUAACAAGAAAAACUCGAUAAGUAAUUACAUUAUCCCUCUAUUACAAAGAAACUCAAUUGUUUAGAAUCUCUUAACACUGGUUCGAACGCAAGUCGCGUGAGGCCAGCGACUGUAAGCGUGGGGGCAGAUACUAACCAACCCUCGUAUCGACAACACUUCUGUACCAGAACUUGGGGGAUUAAGUCUAUCCAUCAUAGUGCCUAUUUACGCACCACGGACACCCCAUAUCUCAAGUUAAGUACUCCCUGUACCUGUACCGAGUUUGGCCAAACGGGUGGGAUAGGAGACGGAUCGGCACAUAUGAGUUACAUGUACCUGUCGUUACGAAGAAGGACAAUACCAAACUUUAAGAUAAACUAUUAUUUGGUCUGCCUCAACAAAUUAUCAUUUGGUUUGCGUCAACACUAUUCAAGUUGUGCACAGUGGUUCCAUAUUAUAUGGGGGCAAUAGUGCCUGAUCCAACUUAUUUCCCUGCUUUACAGUUAAAUAAAGUGCAUCACACAACCAGAAUCAACACCUACCGGUAAUCUACAGCUCAAACCUUUCUGACGAAGCGUUCCGCCGGGGCGCAAUGGAGGGGUAGAGGGAAAGGGAGACCAACUUCAAGGCUUCAAGCGCAAAGCAGUGGAAGACAGACAGUCAUCGAUAGUGAGAGUGGCAUCUAUUUAUUUAAUUUUUCUGAGCCGGGCAGGCAGCAACUCGGCACACCAUUACUAGGCGCCACGGUGCAGGUGGAAGCAACUCUAAAAGGCACAAGAAGUCUCACAUCACUACGUUUCAGCACAGCCGCUGGGGCACGACACGAUCUGCAGCUGCGUAAUUAUUACAACAACCAGGACAGAGACGAAAUUGAAUGACAAGAUAUAAGCAAGCCCCAGGUGAUCUGCUGAUGUCAGGCGUUGCCUGGCCCAGGAGUAAUCGGGGAUGGACACACGUUUCCUUAGCCUUUCCGUAUCUACAAUAGAAGAAUCGUGGAAGGAUUUCUCUACUCUCACCAGGAGAAAUGUUCGCUUUGUGUGGGAUGAAGCAGCAUGCCAGCAGGGGGUCUUUGAUAGAUAGAGCUUCUGUAUCUAGGAGGUUGAUGGAAGGAUUCCUUACUCUCACUAUGCCACUUCACCAGCUCACCAGCAGGAAUGCUCGUUUCGUGUGGGAUCAAGCGUGUCAUGGAGUCUUUGAUAGCUUCAAGAUGGCUCUGAAUGGCGCUCCUGUACUGCACUUUCCCAACCUUCUUUACCUGCUUGACACCAACACAGAUGCCAGCACUGAGGGUAUAGGUGCUUUGCUUGUGCAGGUGAAGUUCACCAAUACAUAUAACCAGAAAGAACUUCUGACAGUAGUUAAGAGCUUCUUGGUCCACUUCACCCAUACAUCUACAAGUCCAAGUUAAUUUUUAAGACUGACCACGCUGCUUUCCACUAGCAGAAGACCCUGAAGGACAAUAGCUGGAAAGGCGGGCUGACUGGAGUAAUAGUUCAAUUACCACAUUGUGCAUUGGCAGGGGAGUGCAUACAACAAUGCGAAUAAUCUGAACUGGCCUCCAGGCAGAGAACUGUCAUCAUCUUGCCCUGAUGGGGAUUGCCAGCGAGGCCAGCAGGUGGUGGUGGGAUUCACAAGCUGGCUGGCCUGGACCUCGCCCGUCAUAACAGAAUGGAGGCAGAUGAAAAGCUGGGAAAGGAGGAUCUGGCCCCAGAUGAAGUGCCUGGUGGAACAGUGGGCAGUGCUGAGGCUGCACGACAGCAUGCUGCAACGAAGCUGGGAGGAUCUUUCCCACCAUGUGUGGCUGCUGUUGGUCCCUCACACACACCACACCGAGCUCCUUGAAAAGUCGCACGCAGGUGUUGCCAGCUAACGCCUGGCCAGGAAGACGACGCUGUGCCGUCUCUAUCAGUGAGUAUACUGGAUUGGCCUUGGCCUGGGGCGUGAUGUGGAGGAGUGGUGAGAAACAUGGUGAGAAACAUGUCUGUGCUGUUCUACCAGGCUUGUUCACCAAUGGAGGCAGUGGAUUCACUGGUCUGCUGCCCUGUACAUGCGUUGCCAUGGAAAGUGACCACCACGAAGGUGCGAGACCAUGGCUGGUAGAAUUCUUCACCAGGUUCGGAGCCCCAGGCAACAAGCUCCACUCAGACCAGGGCCACGAGUUGAAAGUCACAGGUCUUCUGGCAGUGUUGCAAGUUUAUUGUUCACGAAACCCUUACCAUCCCUGCGUCCUGAGAGUGACAGGAUGGUGAAGCGCUUUAAUCACGCCAGUGGGAUCAGCAGGACUGGGACCUGUGGCUGCCAUACAGAUCCAUCGAUCAGAAAGCCACACUCAUUAAUGGCCAGGAGCUGCAGCUGCUGUUAGACCUGGCAAUGGGACAGUUGCCAAAAGUGUGUUCCCAACAGUAUUUUCUGCAACAAAUGUACUUAUUUAAUUUUGUUACUUACUCUUAAUGAUCCCCUUACA